rnacentral:lncRNA from 1 species
AACAGUUCAAGUUCCAAGUUACUUGAAGUACAUUUAUACACGUGCUCACUGCUCAAUCAACGACCUCAUCGCCUACCCAUGCACGCACACGCAUGUAGAGAGGACGUCUACUUGAAGUAGUAUGGGAGGUCGAGCACGUAGAGGAGGAAGUAGGCCCAGACCACGCCGGAGAUGCCGCCGAAGAAGAAGCCUCCGGUGAACUUGGCCCAGCCGUCGGCGGUCUGCAGCUUGUCGGCCUCCUUCUUGCGGCCGGUGAGCGUGAGCGUGGGCGCCGUGGACGGGUCGCCCUCGUUGAAGGAGGCGACGCCGUACAUGGUGAGGCAGACGCUGAGGAUGGUGACGAGCCCGGCGGCGCCCAGGGCGCCCGCCUGGCCGUGCACGGGCGUGUUGCGGAGCGGGCCGGUGAGGGCGAAGGGGCCCACGAGGAGGUAGCCGUGCGCAAGCCCGACCUCGAUGCCGCGGAGCAGCGGGCUCACGGCGGUGCGGUAGGCCGGGAGGUUGGAGAGGUACCAGGCGAUGAGCGGGCUGGAGGUGAUGGGCGUCUCCAGGCUGCCGAUGAAGGGGUCGCCGUUGAUGGGCUGCACCACCUGGUACGUUGUCUGCUCAAGAACAACAGACAGUUUCUAUCAUCAGAGCCAAAGAAUUUUGUUUGAUCAUACAAAGAUAUAUUAUUGAAUUGCUAAUGUUCAGAGCAUCAAAUUGUAUAUCCAAUUUCCAGUCCUGUGAGAUAGAUCAAAAUGAAUCACACAAGAUGACUGAACUGAAAUCAAGAUUCUAGCAGCAGCACACAUGCAAAGAACUGAUCGAUUUGGAAGCAUUUUGAAUGAAAUUGAUAAUUCAUGUUGCCUAUAGCCAAGAGCCAAAUCGAUCAAAACUAUAAAAAAGAUGCAUCACUAUUUCGUUGCUCAGUAGAUCCACUGAC